rnacentral:rRNA from 1 species
AUUGAACGCUAGCGGGAUGCCUUACACAUGCAAGUCGAACGGCAGCACGGACUUCGGUCUGGUGGCGAGUGGCGAACGGGUGAGUAAUGUAUCGGAACGUGCCUAGUAGCGGGGGAUAACUACGCGAAAGCGUAGCUAGUACCGCAUACGCCCUACGGGGGAAAGCAGGGGACCGCAAGACCUUGCACUAUUAGAGCGGCCGAUAUCGGAUUAGCUAGUUGGUGGGGUAACGGCUCACCAAGGCAACGAUCCGUAGCUGGUUUGAGAGGACGACCAGCCACACUGGGACUGAGACACGGCCCAGACUCCUACGGGAGGCAGCAGUGGGGAAUUUUGGACAAUGGGGGAAACCCUGAUCCAGCCAUCCCGCGUGUGCGAUGAAGGCCUUCGGGUUGUAAAGCACUUUUGGCAGGAAAGAAACGUCAUGGGUUAAUACCCCGUGAAACUGACGGUACCUGCAGAAUAAGCACCGGCUAACUACGUGCCAGCAGCCGCCGUAA